GUGCCAGCAGCCGCGGUAAGACGGAGGGAGCUAGCGUUACUCGGAAUCACUGGGCGUAAAGGGCGUGUAGGCGGAUUAGAAAGUCGGGCGUGAAAUACCUCGGCUCAACCGAGGAAUUGCGUCCGAAACUUCUUGUCUUGAGUGUGGAAGGGGAGAGUGGAACUCCUGGUGGAGCGGUGAAAUGCGUAGAUAUCAGGAGGAACGCCGGUGGCGAAAGCGGCUCUCUGGUCCACUACUGACGCUGAGGCGC
rnacentral:rRNA from 1 species